GAAUUUUCCGCAAUGGGCGAAAGCCUGACGGAGUGACGCCGCGUGUGGGACGAAGGCCUUCGGGUCGUAAACCACUGUCAGUGGGAAAGAUGGAUGCCGGCGUGAUAACCGCUGGCAUCUGACGGUACCUGCAGAGGACGCCCCGGCCAACUCUGUGCCAGCAGCCGCGGUAAGACAGAGGGGGCAAGCGUUGCUCGGAAUUACUCGGCGUAAAGGGCGCGUAGGCGGGAUGGCAAGUCGGUCGUGAAAUCCCUCGGCUCAACUGAGGAACGUCGAUCGAUACUGCCGUUCUUGAGGAUUGCAGAGGAGACUGGAAUUCCCGGUGUAGCGGUGAAAUGUGUAGAGAUCGGGAGGAACACCGGUGGCGAAGGCGGGUCUCUGGGCAAUUCCUGACGCUGAGGCGCGAAAGCGUGGGGAGCAAACGGG
rnacentral:rRNA from 1 species